GGUGAUGUAGCGCAGUGCUAAGCACGCAGCGAGCAAGAGCACUGAGGCGACGGUUCGAUUCUAUCCACCGCCA